rnacentral:rRNA from 1 species
GACGAACCGUGCGAACGUUGUUCGGAAUCACUGGGCUUAAAGGGCGCGUAGGCGGCCGGGUUGGUCGUGGGUGAAAUCCCCCAGCUUAACUGGGGAACUGCCUGCGAUACUGCCUGGCUCGAGGGAGGAAGGGGCGGUCGGAACUGUCGGUGGAGCGGUGAAAUGCGUUGAUAUCGACAGGAACGCCGGUGGCGAAAGCGGACCGCUGGCCCUCUUCUGACGCUGAGGCGCGAAAGCCAGGGGAGCGAACGGG